rnacentral:rRNA from 1 species
UACAGAGGGGGCAAGCGUUGUUCGGAAUUACUGGGCGUAAAGGGCGCGUAGGCGGCGUGUUAAGUCGAACGUGAAAUCCCCGGGCUCAACCCGGGAACUGCGUCCGAUACUGGCAGGCUUGAAUUCGGGAGAGGGAUGUGGAAUUCCAGGUGUAGCGGUGAAAUGCGUAGAUAUCGGGAGGAACACCGGUGGUGUAGACGGCUUUCUGGUCCGAUUCUGACGCUGAGGCGCGAAAGCGUGGGGAGCGAUCCGG